AUCCUAGCCGUAAACGAUGAUAACUAGGUAUGGGAGGUAUCGACCCCUUCCGUGCCGCAGCUAACGCAUUAAGUUAUCCGCCUGGGGAGUACGGCCUCAAGGUUAAAACUCAAAGGAAUUGACGGGGGCCCGCACAAGCGGUGGAGCAUGUGGUUUAAUUCGACGCUACGCGAAGAACCUUACCUGGGCUCGAACGACUGGUGGUAGUUCGGAUGAAAGUCCGGGCGACCCGCAAGGGUGCCAGCCGAGGUGCUGCAUGGCUGUCGU
rnacentral:rRNA from 1 species